rnacentral:rRNA from 1 species
AUUGAACGCUGGCGGCAGGCUUAACACAUGCAAGUCGAGCGAGCGGCGGACGGGUGAGUAAUGUCUGGGAAACUGCCUGAUGGAGGGGGAUAACUACUGGAAACGGUCGCUAAUACCGCAUACCAUCAGAUGUGCCCAGAUGGGAUUAGCUAGUGGGUGGGGUAAUGGCUCACCUAGGCGACGAUCCCUAGCUGGUCUGAGAGGAUGACCGGCACAACGGGAACGGAGACCCGGCCCAGACUCCUACGGGGGGCAGCAGGGGGGAAUAUUGGACAAUGGGCGAAAGCCGGAGGCGCCCAUGCCGCGUGUGUGAAGAAGGCCUUCGGGUUGUAAAGCACUUUCAGCGAGGAGGCGUUACUCGCAGAAGAAGCACCGGCUAACUCCGUGCCAGCAGCCGCGGUAAUAC